rnacentral:rRNA from 1 species
GACGGAGGGUGCAAGCGUUGUUCGGAUUGACUGGGCGUAAAGGGCGUGUAGGCGGUCGGCCAAAGUCUGAUGUGAAAGCCCGAGGCUCAGCCUCGGAAGUGCGUCGGAAACUUAGUCGGCUGGAGCGGCGAUAGAGGAGGGUGGAAUUCCUGGUGUAGCGGGUGAAAUGCGUAGAUAUCAGGAGGACACCGGCGGCGAAGGCGGCCCUCUGGAUCGUGCUGACGCUGAUACGCGAAAGCGUGGGGGAGCAAACAGG